GCGAGAGGCGACCGCCAAGCCAGACUUAAAAUCGGCUGGGGGCGACCCCGUGCGGGUUCGAGUCCCGCCCCUCGCACCA
rnacentral:tRNA from 1 species